rnacentral:lncRNA from 1 species
AUCAGCAAAUAGUGAUAGUUUGAGUUCUUCUUUACCUAUUGUGUACCUUUAAUUAUCUUUCUUCUAUUUGUUCUGGUUAGAGUUUCAAGGAUGAUGCUGAAUAGAAGUGGUGAAAGAAGACAUCCCCAAAAUCAACUCAAAGUGGAUCAAAGACUUAGGCACUAGAACAGAGACCCUGCACCUAAUAGAAGAAAAAGUAGGCCCAAAUCUUCACCAUGUCAACCUAGGAUCUGACUUUCUUAACAAGAUUCUUAAAGCACAAGAAGUAAAAUCAAGAACCAAUAAAUGGGAUGGAUUCAAAUUUAAAAGCUUCUUCUCAGCAAAGGAAACAAUCAAUAAUGUGAGGAGAGAGCCUACAGACUGGGAGAAAAUCUUUACCACAUGCACCUCUGACAAAACAUUAAUCUCUAGGAUAUAUAAAGAACUCCAAAAAACUUAAAACUCAAAAAAUAAAUAACCCAAUCAAUAUAUGGGCUAAAGAACUGAACAGAUACUUUACAGAAGAAGAAAUACAAUUGAUCAACAAAUAUAUGAAAAAGUGUUCAAUAUCUCUAGCAAUUAGAGAAAGGCAAAUGAAAACUACAACAAGAUUUCAUCUCACUCCUGUCAGAAUGGCAAUCAUUAAGAAUAUAGCAACAAUAAAUGUUGGCAAGGAUAGGGAGAAAAAGGUAUACUCAUACAUUGCUUGUGGGACAGCAAACUGGCACAACUACUAUGUAAAGCAGUAUGGAAAUCCCUCAGAAAACUGGGAAUGGUACCACCACUUAACUCAGCUAUCCCAUUCCUCAGUUUAUAGUCAAAGGAUGUAAAAUUAGCAUACUACAGUAAUGCAGCCAUGUCAAUGUUUAUAGCAGCUCAAUUCACAAAUACCUAAACUAUGGAACCAACCUAGGUAUCCUUCAAUAGAUGAAUGGAUAAAAAAAUUCAAUGGAACAUGAUUCAGUUUUAAAGGAGAAUGAAAUUAUGGAAUUUGCUGAUAAAUGGGUGGAGCUGGAGACUAUCAUGCUAAGCAAAAUGAGCCAAUCUGAAAAUACCAUAGGUCAAAUGUUUUCUCUAAUACGUGGAUGCUAAUUCACAAUAAGGCAGGGGGCACUAGAGAAGAAUAGUGUUACCCUAGAUUAGGUAGAGGGAAGAGAAUGGAGGGAGUGGAGAGUAAAUGUGGGAAUAGGAAAGAUAGUAGACAUUAUUACUUUAUGUAUAUAUGUGACUGCAUGAGCAAUGUGAUUCUAUAACAUGUACACUCAGAAAAAUGAUAAAUUGUAUCCCAUCUAUGUAUGAUAUAUCAAGAUACAUAAAUGCAUUCUACUGUCAUGUAUAACUAAUU